AUGUGGGAAACCACGAUGCGGGAAACCCAAGUGCCAGCACUAUGUGUUGGCUGUCCUCGACUGUUCGUAAGUCGGGAAGAAAGAGCUGGGUAAGACGGGUGCCAGCCGCCGCGGUAAUACCCGCAGCUCAAGUGGUGGUCAUUAUUAUUGGGCCUAAAGCGUCCGUAGCUGGCCUGUUAGAUGCCUGGGUAAAUCGAUGCGCUCAACGUAUCGAAUUCCGGGUAGACCGGCAGGCUCGAGACCGGGAGAGGUGUAGGCUACUCGAGGGGUAGGGGUAAAAUCCUGUAAUCCUUCGGGGAGGACCAGUGGCGAAGGCGCUACACUAGAACGGCUCUGACAGUGAGGGACGAAGCCCUGGGGCGCAAACCGGAUUAGAUACCCCCGUAGUCC
rnacentral:rRNA from 1 species